rnacentral:rRNA from 1 species
UGGGGAAUAUUGGACAAUGGGGGCAACCCUGAUCCAGCGAUGCCGCGUGGGUGAAGAAGGCCUUCGGGUUGUAAAGCCCUUUAGGUUGGGACGAAGGUCGUAUGGGGAAUAUCCAUGCGAUUUGACGGUACCGACAGAAUAAGCACCGGCAAACUCUGUGCCAGCAGCCGCGGUAAUACAGAGGGUGCAAGCGUUAAUCGGAAUUACUGGGCGUAAAGGGCGCGUAGGCGGUUGCGUGAGUGUGAUGUGAAAGCCCUGGGCUUAACCUAGGAAGUGCAUCGCAAACGACGUAACUGGAGUAUAAGAGAGGGUGGCGGAAUUUCCGGUGUAGCGGUGAAAUGCGUAGAGAUCGGAAGGAACGUCAAUGGCGAAGGCAGCCACCUGGCUUAAUACUGACGCUGAGGCGCGAAAGCGUGGGGAGCGAACAGGAUUAGAUACCCCGGUAGUCC